rnacentral:rRNA from 1 species
UGGGGAAUUUUGCACAAUGGGGGAAACCCUGAUGCAGCGACGCCGCGUGAUUUAGAAGGCCUUCGGGUUGUAAAAAUCUUUUCUAUGGGAAGAAAAUGACAGUACCAUAGGAAUAAGGACCGGCUAAUUACGUGCCAGCAGCCGCGGUAAUACGUAAGGUCCGAGCGUUGUCCGGAAUCAUUGGGCGUAAAGCGAGCGCAGGCGGUCAAUUAAGUCUGAUGUGAAAGCCCCCGGCUCAACCGGGGAGGGUCAUUGGAAACUGGUUGACUUGAGUGCAGAAGAGGAGAGUGGAAUUCCAUGUGUAGCGGUGAAAUGCGUAGAUAUAUGGAGGAACACCAGUGGCGAAGGCGACUCUCUGGGCUGUAACUGACGCUGAGGUUCGAAAGCGUGGGUAGCAAACAGG